AGUGGCUCAUUCACCUUCUUAUGUCAGCCCCUUUGGUUUUCACAAAGCGAGCGCUACAUAAACUUCGAAUGACGCACAAACAGGUGCCUGCCGUCCAACUUCUGAUCAUAGCGCUGCUAUUUCAGGCCCAGGGCGAAACGUUGAGUAAGGCACCGCCUC
rnacentral:sRNA from 1 species